rnacentral:rRNA from 1 species
AAGAGAGAGACAUGCGCGCAUAUCAAUAAGCGGAGGAAAAGAAACUAACAAGGAUUCCCUUAGUAACGGCGAGUGAAGCGGGAAGAGCUCAAAUUUGAAAUCUUCAAGGUUUUACCUUGACGAAUUGUAGUUUAAAGAAGUGGUUUUCCGCUGAAGUUUUGGUAAAAGUUCUUUGGAAUAGGACAUCAUAGAGGGUGAGAAUCCCGUAUUUGACCAUUAUUUUCAGCUUUGUGAUACACUUUCAAAGAGUCGGAUCGUUUGGGAAUGCAGUCCAAAAUGGGUGGUAAAUUUCAUCUAAAGCUAAAUAUUGGCGAGAGACCGAUAGCGAACAAGGUACCGUGAGGGAAAGAUGAAAAGAACUUUGAAAAGAGAGUUAAACAGUAGCGUGAAAUUGUCAAAAGGGAAGCGUUUGACACCAGUGUUGUUUUCUCGAAAAUCAAUUAAAAAUGGCUCGAUUUUGUAUUGCUUGAGACCUUAAAAGCUCACUGUACAUUUUUCGUGUCUUUUUAAUGCACUUUUCGUUUAACAAGUCAACAUCAGUUUCUUUUGUUGUAAAAGGGUCAUUGGAAGGUGGCUUUCUUUUCGGAGAAAGUGUUUAUAGCCUUUGGCCUCUGCAAUCGGAGAGACUGAGGUCUGCAGCGUAGACUCUUCGGGGUUAGAUACAUUUGUGCUAAGUUAUAGCUUUUUAUAGACAACUUGUUGACUAUAAUUAGUCUUGUAGCUUACUCGCUUAUGCUAUUUUACCUACGCUUAGGAUGUUGAAGAUGUAGCACAUCAU